rnacentral:rRNA from 1 species
UACGUAGGGCGCAAGCGUUGUCCGGAAUUAUUGGGCGUAAAGAGCUCGUAGGCGGUUUGUCGCGUCUGCUGUGAAAACUGGGGGCUCAACCCCCCAGCCUGCAGUGGGUACGGGCAGACUAGAGUGCGGUAGGGGAGAUUGGAAUUCCUGGUGUAGCGGUGAAAUGCGCAGAUAUCAGGAGGAACACCGGUGGCGAAGGCGGGACUCUGGGCCGAUACUGACGCUGAGGAGCGAAAGCGUGGGUAGCAAACAGG